AAUGGGCGCAAGCCUGAUGCAGCCAUGCCGCGUGUGUGAUGAAGGCUUUAGGGUUGUAAAACACUUUCAUCGGUGAAGAUAAUGACGGUAGCCGAAGAAGAAGCCCCGGCUAACUCCGUGCCAGCGGCCGCGGUAAUACGGAGGGGGCAAGCGUUGUUUCGAAUUACUGGGCGUAAAGCGCACGUAGGCGGACUGAUCAGUUGGGGGUGAAAUCCCGAGGCUUAACCUCGGAACUGCCUUCAAUACUGUCAGUCUUGAGAUCGGAAGAGGUGAGUGGAAUUCCUAGUGUAGAGGUGAAAUUCGUAGAUAUUAGGAAGAACACCAGUGGCGAAGGCGGCUCACUGGUCCGAUACUGACGCUGAGGUGCGAAAGCGUGGGGAGUGAAUAGGAUU
rnacentral:rRNA from 1 species